rnacentral:rRNA from 1 species
GUGGGGAAUCUUAGACAAUGGGGGAAACCCUGAUCUAGCCAUGCCGCGUGAGCGAUGAAGGCCUUAGGGUUGUAAAGCUCUUUCAGCUGGGAAGAUAAUGACGGUACCAGCAGAAGAAGCCCCGGCUAACUCCGUGCCAGCAGCCGCGGUAAUACGGAGGGGGCUAGCGUUGUUCGGAAUUACUGGGCGUAAAGCGCACGUAGGCGGACUGGAAAGUCAGGGGUGAAAUCCCGGGGCUCAACCCCGGAACUGCCUUUGAAACUCCCAGUCUUGAGUUCGAGAGAGGUGAGUGGAAUUCCGAGUGUAGAGGUGAAAUUCGUAGAUAUUCGGAGGAACACCAGUGGCGAAGGCGGCUCACUGGCUCGAUACUGACGCUGAGGUGCGAAAGCGUGGGGAGCAAACAGGAUUAGAAACCCUGGUAGUCC